rnacentral:rRNA from 1 species
ACUCCUACGGGAGGCAGCAGUGAGGAAUAUUGGGCAAGGGAGGCAACUCUGACCACAGCCAUGCCGCGUGCAGGAAGACGGCCCUAUGGGUUGUAAACUGCUUUUAUACAGGAAGAAACACUGGUAGUAUACCAGCUGACGG